GGAAGGGAGACAGGGGAGAGAUGGUAAUGAGACAGGGUAGAGAUGGAAGGGGGACAGAGGAGAGAUGGAAGGGAGACAGGGUAGAGAUGGUAAUGAGACAGAGGAGAGAUGGUAAUGAGACAGGGGAGAGAUGGAAGGGUAGAGAUGGAAGGGUAGAGAUGGAAGGGUAGAGAUGGAAGGGUAGAGAUGGAAGGGAGACAGGGGAGAGAUGGUAGGGAGACAGGGUAGAGAUGGAAGGGAGACAGGGGAGAGAUGGUAGUGAGACAGGGGAGAUAUGGAAGGGAGACAGGGGAGAGAUGGGAGGGAGACAGGGGAGAGAUGGAAGGGAGACAGGGGAGAGAUGGAAGGGAGACAAGGUAGAGAUGGUAGGGAGACAGGGGAGAGAUGGAAGGGAGACAGGGGAGAGAUGGAAGGAGACAUGGGAGAUAUGGAAGGGAGACAGGGUAGAGAUGGAAGGGAGACAGGGGAGAGAUGGAAGGGGAGAGAUGGAAGGGAGACAGGGGAGAGAUGGAAGGGAGACAGGGGAGAGAUGGAAGGGAGACAGGUGAGAGAUGGAAGGGAGACAGGGGAGAGAUGGAAGGGGAGACAGGGGAGAGAUGGAAGGGAGAUAAAUUGAGAUAAACUUUUGUUAUUGACCAAAUACUUAUUUUCCACCAUAAUUUGCAAAUAAAUUCAUAAAAAAUCCUACAAUGAGAUUUUCUGGAUUUUUUUUCUCAUUUUGUCUGUGAUAGUUGAAGUGUGCCUAUGAUGAAAAUUACAGGCCUCUCUCAUCUUUUUAAGUGGGAGAACUUGCACAUUUG
ensembl:lncRNA